rnacentral:misc_RNA from 1 species
AAGUCGUAACAAGGUUUCCGUAGGUGAACCUGCGGAAGGAUCAUUAUUGAAUGAACUUGGAGUCAGUUGUCGCUGGCUGUCUUAUUUGGCAGCAUGUGCACGCCUUCUCUUUUCAUCCACACACACCCCUGUGCACUUGUGAGACUGGAGACCGGUAAAAAAAAGUCUUCAGUCUGCUAAAUCCAUAUACAAACCCAUUUAAUUGAACUGAAUGUAAAUUGAUGUAACGCAUCUUUAAACUAAGUUUCAACAACGGAUCUCUUGGCUCUC